rnacentral:lncRNA from 1 species
UGACUGAAUGACUGAACAACAACAUUAAGAACAAGCAAUGAACUAGAAUACAAGGGGGGCAAUAUUAAUUUAUUAAGCAUUAAUUAAGCAACUAGUAAAUGUCAAGCACUGUGCUAAGCACUUCUCAGUUAUCUCACAUGAUCCACAACAACAAAACAACCAAAACUGAGGCAAAGGAGACCCAUCACCUUAUUCACCAUACAUGCAAACUUUGCAGAGAAGAUCUUUGUACUUCAGUUAUUAUGGACCACACAGCCCUAUAAGGACCAAACUGGAGAAGCAGCUCUGAAGAUUCAAGGAAUCUUGAGGAAGAGGAAGAGGACCAGGCUGAAUGAGGAGAAAGGAAUUAAUAUAUGAGUAGAAGAGGAAGUGAUAAGAGAUCUUAAAGAAAGACUAGACUAUGAUGUGAUACUGGAGAAAAUGGACCAAAAAUCAACACCUUCAGAAUUCUCUCAACAAUAAGACUUGCUGCCAUUUUGUGUAGAGUUGAGGGACUUCUGGGAUGCCAUUAAAAGCAUUUCCUUAAAUAAAUCUAAAAUCAAAAGUUAUCCUCA